GGCGACCGGCAAACGGGUGCGGAACACGUACGCAACUUACCCUUGUCUGGGGCAUAGCCCGGGGAAACCCGGAUUAACUCCCCAUAAGAUAGUGGUGUGGCAUCACACAGCUAUUAAAACUUUGGUGGACAGGGAUGGGCGUGCGGCUGAUUAGGUAGUUGGUGUGGGUAACGGCCUACCAAGCCUGCGAUCAGUAACUGGUGUGAGAGCACGACCAGUCACACGGGCACUGAGACACGGGCCCGACUCCUACGGGAGGCAGCAGUAAGGAAUAUUGGUCAAUGGACGCAAGUCUGAACCAGCCAUGCCGCGUGGAGGAUGAAGGCCCUCUGGGUUGUAAACUUCUUUUACAGGGGACGAAACACUCUUUUUCUAGAGAGCUUGACGGUACCCUGGGAAUAAGCACCGGCUAACUCCGUGCCAGCAGCCGCGGUAAUACGGAGGGUGCAAGCGUUAUCCGGAUUCACUGGGUUUAAAGGGUGCGUAGGCGGGCUUGUAAGUCCGUGGUGAAAUCUCUGAGCUUAACUCGGAAACUGCCAUGGAUACUAUGGGUCUUGAAUACUCGGGAGGUGAGCGGAAUAUGUCAUGUAGCGGUGAAAUGCUUAGAUAUGACAUAGAACACCAAUUGCGAAGGCAGCUUGCUACAGAGUUAUUGACGCUGAGGCACGAA
rnacentral:rRNA from 1 species